rnacentral:rRNA from 1 species
AACGAACGCUGGCGGCAGGCUUAACACAUGCAAGUCGAGCGAGAACCGGGGCUUCGGCUCCGGGGAAAGCGGCGAACGGGUGAGUAACACGUGAGUAAUCCACCCUCGGUACCGGGAUAGCCCGGGGAAACCCGGAUUAAUACCGGAUGGCCCAUCUGCCCUUCAGGGCGGCUGGAAAAGGUAGCUUCGGCCUCCGACCGAGGACGAGCUCGCGGCGGAUUAGCUUGUUGGCGGGGUAACGGCCCACCAAGGCGACGAUCCGUAGCUGGUCUGAGAGGACGAUCAGCCACACUGGGACUGAGACACGGCCCAGACUCCUACGGGAGGCAGCAGUGGGGAAUCUUGCGCAAUGGGCGAAAGCCUGACGCAGCGACGCCGCGUGCGGGAAGAAGGCCUUCGGGUUGUAAACCGCUUUCAGGAGGGACGAAGCCACUCGGGUUAAUAGCCCAGAGGGUGACGGUACCUCCAGAAGAAGCCCCGGCUAACUACGUGCCAGCCGCCGCAGUAACAC